rnacentral:rRNA from 1 species
UACGGGGGGGGGCAAGCGUUGUUCGGAAUUACUGGGCGUAAAGCGCGCGUAGGCGGACCUGCAAGUCGGGGGUGAAAGCCCGAGGCUCAACCUCGGAACUGCCUUCGAUACUGCGGGUCUCGAGUCCGGGAGAGGUGAGUGGAAUUCCUAGUGUAGAGGUGAAAUUCGUAGAUAUUAGGAAGAACACCAGUGGCGAAGGCGGCUCACUGGCCCCGGUACUGACGCUGAGGCGCGAAAAGCGUGGGGAGCAAACAGG